rnacentral:rRNA from 1 species
UUUGAUCAUGGCUCAGAUUGAACGCUAGCGGCAUGCCUAACACAUGCAAGUCGAGCGGCAGCGAGUCUGUAGUAAUACAGAUGUCGGCGAGCGGCGUACGGGUGAGUAAAAUAUAGGAAUCUGCCUCGAGGUGGGGGAUAACUUGGGGAAACUCAAGCUAAUACCACAUGUGACCUAAGGGUGAAAGCAGGGGAUCGAAAGACCUUGCGCCUUGAGAUGAGCCUAUAACGGAUUAGCUAGUUGGGGGGGUAAUGGCCCACCAAGGCGACGAUCUGUAGCUGGUCUGAGAGGAUGACCAGCCACACUGGGACUGAGACACGGCCCAGACUCCUACGGGAGGCAGCAGUGGGGAAUAUUGGACAAUGGGGGAAACCCUGAUCCAGCAAUGCCGCGUGUGUGAAGAAGGCCUUCGGGUUGUAAAGCACUUUCAGUGGGGAGGAAGGUACAAGCGCUAAUACCGUUUGUAAUUGACGUUACCCACAGAAGAAGCACCGGCUAACUCUGUGCCAGCAGCCGCGGUAAUACAGAGGGUGCAAGCGUUAAUCGGAAUUACUGGGCGUAAAGCGUGUGUAGGUGGUUAGAUAAGUUAGAUGUGAAAUCCCCGGGCUUAACCUGGGCACUGCGUUUAAGACUGUUUAACUAGAGUGCUGUAGAGGGUAGUGGAAUUUCCAGUGUAGCGGUGAAAUGCGUAGAUAUUGGAAGGAACACCAGUGGCGAANGCGACUACCUGGACAGACACUGACACUGAGACACGAAAGCAUGGGGAGCAAACAG